rnacentral:rRNA from 1 species
UACAGAGGGUGCGAGCGUUGUUCGGAAUUAUUGGGCGUAAAGCGCUGGUAGGUGGCUUGUUAAGUCGCGUGUGAAAGCUCCAGGCUCAACCUGGAAAGUGCGCGCGAAACUGGCGAGCUUGAGUGCCGGAGAGGGUCGUGGAAUUCCCGGUGUAGAGGUGAAAUUCGUAGAUAUCGGGAGGAACACCAGAGGCGAAGGCGACGACCUGGAAGGUAACUGACACUGAGCAGCGAAAGCGUGGGGAGCAAACAGG